UACGAAGGGGGCUAGCGUUGCUCGGAAUCACUGGGCGUAAAGGGUGCGUAGGCGGGUCUUUAAGUCAGGGGGAAAUCCUGGAGCUCAACUCCAGAACUGCCUUUGAUACUGAGGAUCUUGAGUCCGGGAGAGGUGAGUGGAACUGCGAGUGUAGAGGUGAAAUUCGUAGAUAUUCGGAAGAACACCAGUGGCGAAGGCGGCUCACUGGUCCGGUACUGACGCUGAGGUGCGAAAGCGUGGGGAGCAAACAGG
rnacentral:rRNA from 1 species